AUUGAACGCUGGCGGCAUGCCUUACACAUGCAAGUCGAACGGCAGCACGGGAGCAAUCCUGGUGGCGAGUGGCGAACGGGUGAGUAAUGUAUCGGAACGUACCUUUCAGUGGGGGAUAACGUAGCGAAAGUUACGCUAAUACCGCAUAUUCUGUGUGCAGGAAAGCAGGGGAUCGCAAGACCUUGCGCUGAUUGAGCGGCCGAUAUCAGAUUAGCUAGUUGGUGAGGUAAAGGCUCACCAAGGCGACGAUCUGUAGCGGGUCUGAGAGGAUGAUCCGCCACACUGGAACUGAGACACGGUCCAGACUCCUACGGGAGGCAG
rnacentral:rRNA from 1 species